rnacentral:rRNA from 1 species
CCCUUAGAUGUUCUGGGCAGCACGCGCACUACAAUGGUCUUCGCAAACGGAUGCAUUCUCGAAGGAGAAUGCCAAUCUUGGAAUCUAUGCCUUGGUCGGGACAGUUGCUUGCAAUUUUUCGACUCGGACCAGGAAUUCCUUGUAAUCGUGAUUCAUCACAUCACGAUGAAUACGUCCCUGCCCUUUGUACACACCGCCCGUCGCUCCUACCGAUCGAAGAGUUAGGUGAAUUGUUUUGAUCGAUAAGAUUUGACUAUGGUCAACUCUCGUUGUGAAAUUCUGUGAAUCUGACUGUUUAGAGGAAGGAAAAGUCGUAACA